GGCGAGUAGCGCAGCUUGGUAGAGCCCUGGAUUUUGAUUCCAGUUGUCGUGGGUUCGAAUCCCAUUAGCCACCC
rnacentral:tRNA from 1 species